GAGGGUAUAGCUCAGCAGUAGAGCACCUGCUUAGCAUGCCCAAGGUUCUGGGUUCAAUCCCCAGGACCUCCA
rnacentral:tRNA from 1 species